GUGGGGAAUCUUGCGCAAUGGGCGAAAGCCUGACGCAGCCAUGCCGCGUGAAUGAUGAAGGUCUUAGGAUUGUAAAAUUCUUUCACCGGGGACGAUAAUGACGGUACCCGGAGAAGAAGCUCCGGCUAACUUCGUGCCAGCAGCCGCGGUAAUACGAAGGGGGCUAGCGUUGCUCGGAAUUACUGGACGUAAAGGGCGCGUAGGCGGACAGCUUAGUCAGAGGUGAAAGCCCAGGGCUCAACCUUGGAAUUGCCUUUGAUACUGGCUGUCUUGAGUUUGGGAGAGGUGAGUGGAAUUCCGAGUGUAGAGGUGAAAUUCGUAGAUAUUCGGAGGAACACCAGUGGCGAAGGCGGCUCACUGGCUCGAUACUGACGCUGAGGUGCGAAAGCGUGGGGAGCAAACAGGAUUAGAAACCCCAGUAGUCC
rnacentral:rRNA from 1 species